AUUGAACGCUGGCGGCAUGCCUUACACAUGCAAGUCGAACGGUAACGGGCCUUCGGGUGCCGACGAGUGGCGAACGGGUGAGUAAUACACCGGAACGUGCCCGAUCGUGGGGGAUAACAAGGCGAAAGCUUUGCUAAUACAGCAUACGAUCUACGGAUGAGAGCAGGGGACCGCAAGGCCUUGCGCGGACGGAGCGGACGAUGGCAGAUUAGGUAGUUGGUGGGAUAAAAGCUUACCAAGCCGACGAUCUGUAGCUGGUCUGAGAGGAUGAUCAGCCACACUGGAACUGAGACACGGCCCAGACUCCUACGGGAGGCAGCAGUGGGGAAUUUUGGACAAUGGGCGCAAGCCUGAUCCAGCCAUGCCGCGUGCAGGAUGAAGGCCUUCGGGUUGCAAACUGCUUUUGUACGGAACGAAAAGCCUUCUUUUAAUACAGGAGGGUCAUGACGGUACCGUAAGAAUAAGCACCGGCUAACUACGUG
rnacentral:rRNA from 1 species